CAUUCUUCGUAGUGUGAAACUUAAACAUUACUCGCAAGGUAUGACAAUUUGAAGGGAAGGCGAAUACUGAUACUGCUAAAUAGAACUGCCUUUCCUGCUUCAUAUAUGCCACAUCUGUUGGCACGUCAAAGAGAUCACCAGCCACUAGAACAAAUCUGAAAGAAAUCAAAAUAUAUGCAAGUUUAUGCUAGUCUCCUUUCAAGUAUCCUACUCCUUAGUUUGCUACAAGUUCAUCUAGCAAAAGGCAUGGAGACAUUGGGGGCAUUAUCCAAAGGACAAAAAACUAUCGAUCUAAGGUUGUGAGGCAUCAGGAAUUUAUCUUUCUGGAGCUCCCUAUAGAUGGAAGAUGUUACAAAUCGAAUCAGGGCAAAGACAAGUGAAGGGGCGGCAAGACUUGCGGUAACAACUUCUCCUGAGGCCGAUGGAUGUGCUGCCAAGAAAUAUUUGAAGGCUAGGAUAGGAAGUUGGUUCGUGAAUGUCCUUCAGUGGUAGCUCUCCUUUCGCUGGUAGUGUAGUGUGAUGCAGUCUCCUGCCUGAUCUUGGCUCUGCUUAAGUGCUUGUAUUGAUGAUUUGGAAAGCCCAGUUA